rnacentral:rRNA from 1 species
GACGGAGGGUGCAAGCGUUGUUCGGAUUGACUGGGCGUAAAGGGCUCGUAGGCGGCCAACUAAGUCAGACGUGAAAUCCCUCGGCUUAACCGGGGAACUGCGUCUGAUACUGGAUGGCUUGAGGUUGGGAGAGGGAUGCGGAAUUCCAGGUGUAGCGGUGAAAUGCGUAGAUAUCUGGAGGAACACCGGUGGCGAAGGCGGCAUCCUGGACCAAUUCUGACACUGAGGAGCGAAAGCCAGGGGAGCAAACGGG